rnacentral:rRNA from 1 species
GACGAACGCUGGCGGCGUGCCUAACACAUGCAAGUCGAGCGAUGAAACUUCCUUCGGGAAGUGGAUUAGCGGCGGACGGGUGAGUAACACGUGGGUAACCUGCCUCAAAGAGUGGGAUAGCCUUCCGAAAGGAAGAUUAAUACCGCAUAACAUUAUCUUGUGGCAUCACAGGAUAAUCAAAGGAGCAAUCCGCUUUGAGAUGGACCCGCGGCGCAUUAGCUAGUUGGUAAGGUAAUGGCUUACCAAGGCGACGAUGCGUAGCCGACCUGAGAGGGUGAUCGGCCACAUUGGAACUGAGACACGGUCCAGACUCCUACGGGAGGCAGCAGUGGGGAAUAUUGCGCAAUGGGGGAAACCCUGACGCAGCAACGCCGCGUGAGUGAUGAAGGUUUUCGGAUCGUAAAACUCUGUCUUUGGGGACGAUAAUGACGGUACCCAAGGAGGAAGCCACGGCUAACUACGUGCCAGCAGCCGCAGUAAAAC